UACGAAGGGGGCUAGCGUUGCUCGGAAUCACUGGGCGUAAAGGGUGCGUAGGCGGGGCUUUAAGUCAGGGGUGAAAUCCUGGAGCUCAACUCCAGAACUGCCUUUGAUACUGAAGAUCUUGAGUUCGGGAGAGGUGAGUGGAACUGCGAGUGUAGAGGUGAAAUUCGUAGAUAUUGGGAAGAACACCGGUGGCGAAGGCGGCUCUCUGGACCGGAUCUGACGCUGAGGCGCGAAAGCGUGGGGAGCAAACAGG
rnacentral:rRNA from 1 species